UCUGAGCUGUCCUGCAGCAGUCACUGUCGCCCAUCUGAAAAAGUUCAUCGUGCUGAAGUUCGAUCUAUCACAGAACAUAAAGGUGGAGAUCUAUCACUGUGACGAAUCGCUGAAGGACGAGUAUGCCCUUAUGGACGUCGCCUACAUCUACUCGUGGAGGCGGAGGGGACCAUUGCAGCUGUUGUUCAGCGUGCAUGAGUACCAGCCGGCACGCAAGCGUCUGAAGACAGACAGCGAUGGCGUGCCGACGGCGACGCGCACUGAUCCUUCCGACCUUCACAAGAAUGGCUUCGGCGUCAACGGUGGCUUCGCGUCACAGCUCGUCACCAAGAAGUCGG